ACGCUAGCUACAGGCUUAACACAUGCAAGUCGAGGGGAAACGGCAUUUAGUGCUUGCACUGAAUGGACGUCGACCGGCGCACGGGUGAGUAACGCGUAUCCAACCUUCCCAUUACUUUGGGAUAACCUGCCGAAAGGCAGACUAAUACCUCAUAGUCUUCGAUGACGGCAUCAGAUUUGAAGUAAAGAUUUAUCGGUAAUGGAUGGGGAUGCGUCUGAUUAGCUUGUUGGCGGGGUAACGGCCCACCAAGGCAACGAUCAGUAGGGGUUCUGAGAGGAAGGUCCCCCACAUUGGAACUGAGACACGGUCCAAACUCCUACGGGAGGCAGCAGUGAGGAAUAUUGGUCAAUGGACGUAAGUCUGAACCAGCCAAGUAGCGUGCAGGAUGACGGCCCUAUGGGUUGUAAACUGCCUUUGUAUGGGGAUAAAGUCAAUCACGUGUGAUUGUUUGCAGGUACCAUACGAAUAAGGACCGGCUAAUUCCGUGCCAGCGGCCGCGGUAAUACGGAAGGUUCGGGCGUUAUCCGGAUUUAUUGGGUUUAAAGGGAGCGUAGGCCGGAGAUUAAGUGUGUUGUGAAAUGUAGACGCUCAACGUCUGAAUUGCAGCGCAUACUGGUUUCCUUGAGUACGCACAACGUCGGCGGAAUUCGUCGUGUAGCGGUGAAAUGCUUAGAUAUGACGAAGAACUCCGAUUGCGAAGGCAGCUGACGGGAGCGCAACUGACGCUGAAGCUCGAAGGUGCGGGUAUCGAACAGGAUUAGAUACCCUGGUAGUCCGCACAGUAAACGAUGGAUGCCCGCUGUUGGUACCUAGUAUCAGCGGCUAAGCGAAAGCAUUAAGCAUCCCACCUGGGGAGUACGCCGGCAACGGUGAAACUCAAAGGAAUUGACGGGGGCCCGCACAAGCGG
rnacentral:rRNA from 1 species